UUUGAGAUUUGAAUGCAUUCUAUAGCAACACUAAGCAUACUUGGAAGGCUACCUUGAAACGUGAUUAUUUCGGCACUCCUUGGAAAACAGCUUCUACUGCAGCUGCUGUUACCUUAUUGCUGCUCACUCUCGGACAAUUUAUAUGCUCCAUCAUCCAAGUUGUGAAGAUGUGAAGAAGCUUUGUGCAUGAAAUUCUGGAACACGUAUAUGGGCUGAGAAUGGAGAAAAGCAAUAGGAGAUUAAGCCAGUGAUAGAUCGUGAUAUGAAUUUCAUGCAACAAGAGUGAAGGUCAUGCUAUCUAUCAACCCGAUGGAUUCGAAUGAAGUGAUUUUGUGUGUCUUUGUUUGUUAUUAACAUACAAUUUUAUAGCUUUGUUAUUAUUGAUACUGUUGGGAUAAUGGGCUUGUCUUCAUGGGAAUUUAUUUAUAUUUGCUCUCAUAAUUAAUUAUCU